CCCGUCACACCAUGGGAGUUGACUGUACCAGAAGUCGCUGGGCUAACCUCGGGUUCGCUCGAGGGCGCAGGUGCCUAAGGUAUGGUUGGUGACUGGGGUG
rnacentral:rRNA from 1 species